rnacentral:rRNA from 1 species
UGCCUACGGGGCGCAGCAGUGGGGAAUAUUGGACAAUGGGCGCAAGCCUGAUCCAGCCAUACCGCGUGGGUGAAGAAGGCCUUCGGGUUGUAAAGCCCUUUUGUUGGGAAAGAAAAGCAGUCGGCUAAUACCCGGUUGUUCUGACGGUACCCAAAGAAUAAGCACCGGCUAACUUCGCGCCAGCAGCCGCGGUAAUACGAAGGGUGCAAGCGUUACUCGGAGUUACUGGGCGUAAAGCGUGCGUAGGUGGUUGUUUAAGUCUGUUGUGAAAGCCCUGGGCUCAACCUGGGAAUUGCAGUGGAUAC